CCUACGGAUGGCUGCAGUGGGGAAUAUUGCACAAUGGGGGAAACCCUGAUGCAGCGACGCCGCGUGCGUGAAGAAGUAAUUCGUUAUGUAAAGCUCUAUCAGCAGGGAAGAAAAUGACGGUACCUGAGUAAGAAGACCCGGCUAACUACGUGCCAGCAGCCGCGGUAAUACGUAGGGGGCAAGCGUUAUCCGGAUUUACUGGGGGGAAAGGGAGCGUAGACGGCAGUGCAAGUCUGGUGUGAAAGGCGGGGGGUCAACCCCCGGACUGCUCUGGAAACUGUACGGCUGGAGUGCGGGAGAGGUAAGUGGAAUUCCUGGUGUAGCGGUGAAAUGCGUAGAUAUUAGGAGGAACACCAGAGGCGAAGGCAGCUUACUGGACUGUAACUGACGUUGAGGCUCGAAAGCGUGGGGAGCAAACAGGAUUAGAUACCCGAGUAGUC
rnacentral:rRNA from 1 species